rnacentral:misc_RNA from 1 species
GAUGAAGAACGCAGCGAAAUGCGAUACGUAGUGUGAAUUGCAGAAUUCCGUGAAUCAUCGAAACUUUGAACGCAUAUUGCGCUCGAGGCUUCGGCCAAGAGCAUGUCUGCCUCAGCGUCGGGUUAAUAUCACAUCUAUAUAACUUGUUUAUGUAGACAGUGGACCUGACCGUUCCAAAGGCUUUGGUCUGUGAUGCUAAACCCAUCACAUCCAUAUAAUAUAGUCUUGGAUCGGUUGAAGAGUAGAGGCUAACCGUGGACCCGCUAAGGGCCGGAACUGGGUAGGUGCCUGUCCCUUUUACUAGGGGCUCCGCAUUCUUAGUUGUUGGUCUGGGAACUAGCGUUCAGCCCUCAAUAAGGAAACUUAACUCUUAUUACCUCGACCUGAGCUCAGGCAAGAACACCCGCUGAACUUAAGCAUAUCAAUAAGCGGAGGA